AGAGGCAGAUUUUUUUUCUUGUUUUCCUCCCGAAAAGCUAGGUGUCUGUUACACUUUGGAGCCUCUUAUACUCUGGAAAAUAUGGUAAUUAAGCACUACAAGUUUU